UCCACCUUAACCGAUCGUCGAUGUCGCCAUUGACGCAUCCCUCGCCAAUCUCCCCUUCCUUGUCUGUCUUUGCCUUCCGCCAUGGCUUCCGAGCAGAUUCUCCUCCCUUCAUCAAAGGUUCGGACCUGGUUUCAUCACAGAUCUUAUUUUUUAGGGUUUCCAUUCUUCUGCUGGGCUGAGAUCAUAAACCACAUUCUUCCACACUGUCGAGCGGGCAUUGAUGGGCUAAGCGGCCUCACCUCAUUGUUUGGUCCAAAUCAAGACUUUUGGCCCCAUCGAUAUACACUGCAACGUUUCCACAAAACCUAGUUUAGAUUCUUUCUAAGUUAGUGCUUCUAUCUGAUGUGAUCGUCUUCGAGGAGUAGGAGGGCAACCUCUCACGCCAUCGAUGGCUUACUCCAAGUUGGCUUCGACGAGUUUGUGUCUACAAUCAGUGUUCUUGUCGUCCAUCGAGAUCAUCUUAUUUCAUGUUUCAGCUAUCACCGACAAUUUUGCGUGAACAUUAUGUGAUUGAGGGAAGUAUGCCAAUCUAUCUGAGAUGGGUCGGAUGAGAACUGCCCAUCUUACUGUGUGAAAUUUAGCCUUGAUGGAUCAUUUACUUUCCCAAGCAACAACGGAAGAGUUGGAUAUACGAUGCAUAAACGUAAUGAAGGACCUAUUUGCAGGUGCUCUGUUUCUUGUUGACGGUCAUUCUCUGUGUGUGCAAGUGUUAGCCAGAGAAAGAGGGGUGUUUGCCGCUGAACUGUAAUCAGAAAAAAAAUAAAUUUGAGCUGUUCAGAGGAAAAAGAAGGUGGUUGCUCUCCAACUCACUAUGAUUGCCUAAUAUUCCAGUAAGCCCCUGUUGUCAUGUUACUGCACGGAACUUGGAAGCUGGUCUCCUCCAUGGAAGAUACAUUUGCAGCCAGCUUUCUGAUGGACAGGACAGAAUAGUUCAAGGUGAACAAUUCAACAAGAGGAGGAACAUAAUUGAAAACAGCGUCAUUUUUCUCAUCUUCUUGCCAGCGAUCACGGUUUGUUCUACGAGCCGUACGUGGAGGAAGGUCUGCCCCUUUUAAGAGAAGCAAAAUGCCAUUGCAUCAGGACUUCAACAUGGGAUUCUCUAAAGCACAUGAAGGUCUUGACAGAAGCAGCUUAGGAUUCGUGCAGAGGCACACAUGGACACCCAGUCCAGUGAACCAUGUCAUGGUAGGCAGGGAAAUGACUAUUACCUAACUGAGUACUCUGGUAACACUAUGCCUUAAGAGAAAGGUCAGCAAGGGUAUAUAAAAGCUGCAACACCCUCUCUUGACUGAAAAUUUUAUCUAAUAGUUACUUGUGGUCAGUGAUAUUUUAUACAGUGUUUGUACCACACCAGCAUGGAUCAUCAUUAAAUUAUAGAAAUGUAGCUCCUUGGAGAUCUGUUGCGUAGUGACACAAACACUAAUCUAGAGCAGCAUGACGUGGAUACAUGGAUGAUGGGCAUGUAUAGUUAACUGCAUGGAUGAUGAGGCAUGGGGACAGACAUCCUUCCAUACUCAACAGGGUUCUUGCAUUUCCCUAGCAUGGUCUGCAUCAUAAAAGAAAACUAUUGAUGGUUGACCUCUGCAGGUUGCUCAUGCAAGUGAAUCUUUCUGCACCAAAUCAAGCAUUAAAAAAUCUCUCAGGACCAGUGCAAUCAGAGGCUUGCAGGACACACUUGGAAUAUUUUCUUAGUCCCUAUCGCUCUUGUUUUGGUAUUCAGUACAAGUUCACUAGAUCAUCAUCCUGCAAAUUCUCUGGGAAGGGUUUGAAUCACAGGAAGGGAAUAACCUGAGGGAUCAAGCAGUGGAAGCUUGAGAUGAACUACUACAUGGGGACAUCACGAGGCACAGCAAAGAACAAAGUUUCCACCUGAGGGAUGAAUGAAAAGAAAUCCUCUCUUCACACCACAGUAACGAGUGCUGAGGUUUCAGUGGUAGCAGUGGUUGCACAGCAAUAAGUCUCGGAACGAGAAGCAGAAACAUGCACUUGGCAAGUCUUGUGUGGUGGAGAUAAGGGGAAGCACUCUGUCGUCGGCUUUUGCAGGUACAGAUGCGGUCAAAUUCCGUGAACGAACGCCGACAGUUUCGUCACAACCAUUCGUCACCCAAAACAAUAGCAGGAAACCGUAUGGCCGUCAGAUUCUUUCUUCCAUGAGCGGUUGGCCGCAAUCUUUGACAGUCUUCAAGGCGGAUGCCGAUGGCUUCCUCUUAUGAGACGCCCUCACUCAUCUAUACGUAUGUCUAUAUAUUAUACGCCUAACAUGACACGUGGAUAAUAGGUGCCACAUCAAUUCCGUGUCAUUGACCACAUCACCAUUGAAUCUCCAAGAGUUUCAACUUUAGCGUCGGAGAGACUUGGUCAUGCAUCCUACUCGACUCUAAUCUUUGUAAUCUUGGCGAAUGCUCAAGUGAUCAUCUCGGACGCCUCAGACUUUAUUCGUCAGUAUUAGUUCUUACAAGAUAGAUGUGUAAACUAGAUCUCCAUCCUGAUACGACCAUAUCAAUGAUGUGCUCCUAGUAAUGUUUCCAUUAGAAGAAGAGAUUAAGACAAGACAAAUAGGCAUAUCAGCAUAUCAAGUACGAAGUGAUCAUUGAUCAAACACAUGAGGAAGAAAAUAACAAAUAUGGUGUCCACC